rnacentral:rRNA from 1 species
CCCUUAGACGUUCUGGGCCGCACGCGCGCUACACUGACCAGUGCAACAAGCAUCCGUCCUUGGCCGACAGGCUCGGGCAAUCUUUGAACGCUGGUCGUGAUGGGGAUAGACUUUUGCAAUUUUUGGUCUUCAACGAGGAAUUCCUAGUAAACGCAAGUCAUCAACUUGCAUUGAUUACGUCCCUGCCCUUUGUACACAUCGCCCGUCGCACCUACCGAUUGAAUGGUCCGGUGAAGCCUCCGGAUUGGCGCGCACCUCGGUGCCGCCGAGAAGUUGGCUAAACCUUACCAUUUAGAGGAAGGUGAAGUCGUAACA